GUCUACAGCCAUGCUACCCUGAACAAGCCAGAUCCCGUCUGAUCUCAGAAGCUAAGCAGAGUCGGGCAUGGUUAGUACUUAGAUGGGAGACCACCUAGAAAGACCAAGUGCUAUGGGUG
rnacentral:rRNA from 1 species